GGCAUCGGUGCCGUGUUCUGUGACUAACUCGACUGGCGCCGGACUGACGGGCGCCCGCCGGUCUGUCACAGAUCACGGGACCAGCCGCAU
rnacentral:miRNA from 14 species